rnacentral:rRNA from 1 species
CCUACGGGAGGCUGCAGUGGGGAAUAUUGGACAAUGGGGGCAACCCUGAUCCAGCCAUGCCGCGUGUGUGAAGAAGGCCCUCGGGUUGUAAAGCACUUUCAGUGAGGAAGAACGCCUGGUGGUUAAUACCCAUCAGGAAAGACAUCACUCACAGAAGAAGCACCGGCUAACUCCGUGCCAGCAGCCGCGGUAAUACGGAGGGUGCGAGCGUUAAUCGGAAUUACUGGGCGUAAAGCGCGCGUAGGUGGCUUGAUAAGCCGGUUGUGAAAGCCCCGGGCUCAACCUGGGAACGGCAUCCGGAACUGUCAAGCUAGAGUGCAGGAGAGGAAGGUAGAAGUCCCGGUGUAGCGGUGAAAUGCGUAGAGAUCGGGAGGAAUACCAGUGGCGAAGGCGGCCUUCUGGACUGACACUGACACUGAGGUGCGAAAGCGUGGGUAGCAAACAGGAUUAGAUACCCUUGUAGUC